CUACGGGAUGCUGCAGUGAGGAAUAUUGGUCAAUGGGGGAAACCCUGAACCAGCGACGCCGCGUGUGGGAUGACGGAGCUUCGCUCUGUAAACCACUGUCAGGAGGGAAGAAAACCCCGCUCAGCGGGAUGGGACUGUACCUCCAGAGGAAGGAUCGGCUAACUACGUGCCAGCAGCCGCGGUAAUAUGUAGGAUCCAAGCGUUGUCCGGAAUUACUGGGUGUCAAGGGUGCGCAGGCGGACUUGUGCGUCAGAGGUUAAAUGUCACCGCUCAACGGUGAACCUGCCUUUGAUACGGCGAGUCUUGAGUACGAGAGAGGUAGGUAGAAUUCCUGGUGUAGCGGUGAAAUGCGUAGAUAUCAGGAGGAAUACCAGUGGCGAAGGCGGCCUACUGGCUCGUAACUGACGCUCAUGCACGAAAGCGUGGGUAGCGAACAGGAUUAGAUACCCGAGUAGUC
rnacentral:rRNA from 1 species